rnacentral:rRNA from 1 species
CAAUGGGCGCAAGCCUGAUGCAGCCAUGCCGCGUGUAUGAAGAAGGCCUUCGGGUUGUAAAGUACUUUCAGUCGUGAGGAAGGCGGUGUCGUUAAUAGCGGCAUUGUUUGACGUUAGCGACAGAAGAAGCACCGGCUAACUCCGUGCCAGCAGCCGCGGUAAUACGGAGGGUGCGAGCGUUAAUCGGAAUUACUGGGCGUAAAGCGCAUGCAGGUGGUUUGUUAAGUCAGAUGUGAAAGCCCGGGGCUCAACCUCGGAAUAGCAUUUGAAACUGGCAGACUAGAGUACUGUAGAGGGGGGUAGAAUUUCAGGUGUAGCGGUGAAAUGCGUAGAGAUCUGAAGGAAUACCGGUGGCGAAGGCGGCCCCCUGGACAGAUACUGACACUCAGAUGCGAAAGCGUGGGGAGCAAACAGGAUUAGAUACUCUGGUAGUCCACGCCGUAAACGAUGUCUACUUGGAGGUUGUGGCCUUGAGCCGUGGCUUUCGGAGCUAACGCGUUAAGUAGACCGCCUGG